rnacentral:rRNA from 1 species
AUUGAACGCUGGCGGCAGGCCUAACACAUGCAAGUCGAACGAGUGGCGGACGUGUGAGUAAUGUCUGGGAAACUGCCCGAUGGAGGGGGAUAACUACUGGAAACGGUAGCUAAUACCGCAUCCCAUCGGCUGUGCCCAGAUGGGAUUAGCUAGUAGGUGGGGUAACGGCUCACCUAGGCGACUAUCCCUAGCUGGUCUGAGAGGAUGACCAGCCACACUGGAACUGAGACACUGUCCAGAAGCCUAAGGGAGGCAGCAGUGGGGAAUAUUGCACAAUGGGCGCAAGCCUGAUACAGCCAUGCCGAGUGUAUGAAGAAGGCCGUCGGGUUGUAAAGUACGUUCAGCGGAGAGGCGUUAAUCGCAGAAGAAGCACCGGCUAACUCAGUGACAGCAGCCGCGGUAAUUC